UGGACGUGGCUAAGCCAGACAUUGGUCCAUCCCCGUUUCCAAGGGUUGAUGGCAUCACAUGCAAUCCCAGUCCAACAAACACUCACGGGUGUGGAAUGAGCAAUGUGAGUAAAACCAGUGAGACCCUCCUGGGACUCCAGUUAUUCUCCUGUCUGGAGGUCCAGGUUUGCAUCCAACACACAGGAGAGGCAGAGAAGGAAGGAGUGGGGGAUUCAUAAGGGCUGCAGAUGUCCUGCCUGCUGGGCAGCUGGGGGAGAAGGAAGUUUUUCCUUAUGAAAUCCCAGUGGAUACAGCACUGAGGGCACUGUGAGAAAAUGAUGGAUUUAUGGAUGGAGCAGUUUCCCCACGAUGUGAACUCCAGAGCUGACACACACAGAAAAAGCCUUUCAGCGCUGGGUACAAGCUAGAAAUAAUGGGAGGUGAAGCUUGUCCCUGAGAAAAGAGCCUUAAAAUAAUAAAGUGUACACUGGGAAGGGGAGGAGAGGGGGGAAAUAGAUUACCCAUUCCCAGCAGUACAAUACCAGUAACACCAG